UAUCAGUUACCAUCCCUACUCUAUGACAUGGUCUGAGGCCCAAAGGAUUUAUAUUUAGUUCUUAAGCGGUGUGUAUAUCUAUAUCUGAAAAAAAAAAAAAAGUAGAAAAAGAAAAAGGAAAAGAACAUGGAAGCUCAAACCAUUUUGAAACAUACCUGAAUAUGAAUAGGAACUUUCUUUCCCGUCAGGCGAAGCGAUCGUGAUCCUAAUCGAUCGGUAUGAAACAGGAGUAAUUUCUUCCUGCGAAACCAAUACAUGAUCACGAGGAUACAUAGCAGCCAAGAAACAUAGAGAAUUGAAAAUCACAACAACAAGGCUCGUUAAUUUCGAUAAAUAAACAAAUUUUUUGUAAAAGGCUGAAAUGCAACUUAAAAUAAAAAAGAAAUGGCCUUUUAAUAAUUUUUGUAAAAAAAGUGAUUCAGUGGGAAAGAAAAAAAAAAGUUAAAAACAAAAUCUCACAGGCGUCUUUUCGGUUUUUGAACAGCAUACAGCAAAGUCGUUGAGUCAACGCCUGGGCUACACCAAGUCAAAGCACAACGAAAUUUCCUGUGAUCUCGAGAAUUAAAAGACUUCAAAUGCACAUCACCUGUUUGAUUAUUACCUUAAACAAAAUUUGAAUACAAACUUCCGAUCAGAAUAUAGGAGGAUAUAACAUAUUGUUCAGCAACUAUAUGAAAGAAGAUCAUUUUCUACUCAACCAAGCAAACCUGCAUAUAUGUACCUGCAAAAAGCAAGUUGAAAAAGGAAAAUUACAGAAGUUUUCCCCCAGCCAUCAACCAGAGAGAGAGAGAGAGAGAGAGAGAGAGGGAUAGAUGAUUCUUCGUACGUGACUGCUAAAGCAACCGGCGAGGAACUGCGACUCCGAGUCACUGACGACUCCAGGCCAAAUGGAAGUCGGCUCGGUGAGCUUUCUUAUAUAUAUUAUUAAUUGGAAUCUUUAAGCAAAGUGUUUUAAUUAAACAGAAACCUGUUGCUCCCUGGCUUCUGAUAAAUGGAUUUGUAAUGCGCAACUCGUCUGCACAUGCCGAAUGUCUGGCUGCUUGUGGGCCUCAACGUUGAAGAAAUAGCUUAGAACUUCCAUUUUAGAAAAAAAAUAAUAAAAAAAGAAAAUUGUAAACAAUGAGAACUACCGGUGCCAGGUG
rnacentral:lncRNA from 1 species